CUAAUAGUGCCACUCCCUGGGCCAAGCAUAUUCAAAUCACCACAGGCAGCUACGAUUCCUUGUCAGAGCCAGGAAGAAAUAUGAAGGAGAAAAUAGCCAGUUUGAGGGGUGACUGAAAACAGGGUAAAUGAGGUCGCACGGGACACUGAGGUGGACUGAGACAGAGUUAGAGUGUGGGCCCCUGAGGGGGGAGUCGGGAUGGUUAGUGGAAGAAAGGGCAGAAGUGAGUGAUACCCAAGCAUCGUGGCAGAGAGAAGGCAAGAAGUCAACUGCUGCUAAGCCUCGGAAAGAACUCACAAGACCCACCCCACACUCAGAUCUGCUGUUCACACGUCUUCAGAGCCUGUCAUGCCCUGGAAGCUCGGUGGUCUUUCCAUGGCUCGGUCCCUUCCAGAGCUGAGGUGAUAUUCGAGAUAGCGUGCCACCACACCAGCUACUCCCGACGACCUCCCAACUAUGAAAGCUGGCACGCCUACAUUCCCGCAGCCUGCCCUCUGAGCCGGAGCCGACGGUGACUCAGCCGAGGAGCCUGUAGAGAGCCUCCCAAGAUUGCUGGGGAGUCAGGCACCACGAGCUGAACAAGCCCUGUGCAUGGUGCACCGGAGACCUUGCAAGAUGCAGAAGCCCGUACCGCUACGUUCCAAAACUGGGCCAGCCCCAAGGCCUGCUCGUUAUAACUGUCCUCACUCACUGUAAGGACAUUUCCAGCAGUCCUGAGGGAGGUAGAUGGCAAUCUGUUCAGUCAACAUAGCUGAGACUUUCAUUCCGCCAGCCCCCCCCCCCCCUCUGACGGCUGCCCUUGAAGUUGUCUUUUUAAACUCUCCCUCACAAGAGAUCGUAGAAAGGAGAGCGUCAUCGUCAUCUUGCUCAAACUGCCUCCUCUGUAGUUGACUAUUUGUGGCCAAAUCUUACAAGAGUAUCUGUGGGCUGGUCUAUACCCUAAGACCAGACCUAAUGUUGUCCAAAGGCAGUAAGUAAUACAUCCCUUUGCCUGAGAACUAGGGAGCCACAGCUAUUUGUCACGUCUUCCCUUAGCACCGCUCAGCUCUUGUGUCCUGUCUCCCAGAACAGACAGAAAUCCAGGCUUUGGCUUGACUGGCCCUGGUAACGCCUGAGCAGGUGCAGGGUCUCGGCUUGAAAGGCGGACCCAGAUGAGCACUUACACAGCAGCUAUGGGUAAACACCCAGCAUUUACACAGCAGCUAUGGUUAAAAAUCCAGCCACCUUGUCUUUUAAAAAGACAUGGGAAAAUGUCUCUCGAGAGCCGCAUCAUUGUCAAAGGUAAACAGAGGCUGUCAAGACUCAGGCCUUUAGGUGCCUGGUUGCAUGGACAUAGCUUCUCUCCAGGCGUCACAGGGUCAAGCCUGACUGAUGCAAGCACUGGCAGCUGGCUCUGAGAGGCUCUAGGGAGACGACAAGGCAUGGAGGUUCAGCCCUCAUAGGAAGGGCACGCAUGGGGCCCUUCUUAGUCCCAUGGCCUCACAACUAGGGAUAUUAGGGAGGGAACACAGUAAGAGGUGGCUGGUGAGAAAGAACACCAGACUGCCAGCCCCUGGGGGAACUAUUCUCCAUUCCCCAUUGCUUUAUAAAUAUAAUAAUAGCCCUGGCAAAACCGGUUUCUAAGAACGAACAGUAGACCUCAGACCUCAACCUGUGUGUGAUAUUCUUGUUAAUAUGGUUUGCAUGUGGAUGCUACCUGCUCUAAGAGACGGAAUGAAAGAGACUUUGA